rnacentral:rRNA from 1 species
UACGUAGGGUGCGAGCGUUAAUCGGAAUUACUGGGCGUAAAGCGUGCGCAGGCGGUUCGUUGUGUCGGUGGUGAAAGCCCCGGGCUUAACCUGGGAAUGGCCGUCGAAACUGGCGAACUGGAGUGUGGCAGAGGGGGGUGGAAUUCCGCGUGUAGCAGUGAAAUGCGUAGAGAUGUGGAGGAACACCGAUGGCGAAGGCAGCCCCCCUGGGUCAAGAUUGACGCUCAUGCACGAAAGCGUGGGGAGCAAACAGG